GGCAGCCGCCGCGGGAACACCGGCGGCCCGAGUGGUGAUCGUGAUUAUUGGGUCUAAAGGGUCCGUAGCCGGUUUGGUCAGUCCUCCGGGAAAUCUGAUAGCUCAACUAUUAGGCUUUCGGGGGAUACUGCCAGACUUGGAACCGGGAGAGGUAAGAGGUACUACAGGGGUAGGAGUGAAAUCUUGUAAUCCCUGUGGGACCACCUGUGGCGAAGGCGUCUUACCAGAACGGGUUCGACGGUGAGGGACGAAAGCUGGGGGCACGAACCGGAUUAGAUACCCGGGUAGUCCCAGCCGUAAACGAUGCUCGCUAGGUGUCAGGCAUGGCGCGACCGUGUCUGGUGCCGCAGGGAAGCCGUGAAGCGAGCCACCUGGGAAGUACGGCCGCAAGGCUGAAACUUAAAGGAAUUGGCGGGGGAGCACAACAACGGGUGGAGCCCUGCGGUUUAAUUGGACUCAACGCCGGACAACUCACCGGGGGCGACAGCAAUAUGUAGGCCAAGCUGAAGACUUUGCCUGAAUCGCUGAGAGGUGGUGCAUGG
rnacentral:rRNA from 1 species